GCUCCGUUAGCUCAGUUGGUUAGAGCAUCGGCCUUAUGUGCCGAAAGUCGAGGGUUCGAGCCCCCCAUGGAGCA
rfam:Gregarina niphandrodes unplaced genomic scaffold scaffold00063, whole genome shotgun sequence.